GAUAAGGCACCUUCCUGCUCAAAAGUGCAUGUGGGUCACAUGAAUAAUGGAUGUCAGGCUGAACUGCUGCUGAACUUCGGCGAUGUCAAACCUGCACGCCCAUUAUACACCCGUCUCUGCUGAUGUGGCCUCUGUCAUCGCUUUGGGUGUGGCCGAUCGCCUGACACUCUCAAACAACUCAAGCUUUGUUCGACCGCAUGGCCUUUGUGAUCCAACGACUUACGUGUCCAUAUAUGAGGUCACAUAAACCAGCGUGCUGACCGGAGACCUGGUGCAAGGCUUGGAUGUCUGAAAUCAAGAGCGUCUUUCUCUGGGGAAGGUCAUACUCCGUCAGCCUGCCGUCACGGAUGAUGAAGAUGUCUGCAGCCUGAGGUUGAGUGGUGACAGUCAUAACGCUGGCUGGGCGUGACAGUGAUCUCCAGCAGUUUUGACACAUUUGAAGGGAUCCAAGGAAGGAGAUAAUUAAAGCCACACCGAUGCCUUCUGAUCAACUUUUCCUUUAUGUAAGGUCGCCUCAUUCCUAAAGAUGCCGCAGGGUGAUUUAGCUUGUGUCUUUCACCUCUGCUUUCUAGUUUUAUCGGACUGGGUGUGUGCCGUCUGACUGGCAUUAAUGUGUUACGGUUUCAAAGUAGAGUUAAUUGAGGGUUAAUCAUUCAGUAAUUUGAAGUUGAGCAAUCACAAAAGUAUGCUUGGUAAUACAAAAAAUACCCUGUUAUUAUUAACCUCUUACAGAAUGUCCCCGCAGUUAAAUGGGCAAAAAUACUUUCUGGGUGAAUCAUGUGUUGAUUCUGGCUUGUUCCAUGAAUGCUUGUGAAACUGAAAGUGUAAAAUAAGACAAAGCACCCACACCUGAUUUCCAUAAAGCUGCAGAUACAGUACACCUGUAACUCAUUCAUUCAUCUGUGUCAGUGAAGUUGUGUAAGAUCAUAUCAAAUACAUAUGAAUCAUGGGAGGUUAUAACAAUCGUUGAUUUGAUUGUAUCAAUAGACAAUGAGAUGAUAUUAAAGCACACAUGAUUCAUUUAUGAAUGUGUUGCAGCUUGAGUUAGGAACUUUGAUGUCUGAAACUUUGAUCAGAUUUAUUAUGAGUGUAUCCAUUAAUAAUUCAAUCAGCUUAGCGUCCCGUCCUAACAUGUGUUUACAUUAGUCUCAGAGUUCUGCAUGGGGCUUAUGUGAGUCAGAACGUGUCCAGAUUUACUGCAGAUGUUUGCUGAAUGGAAAAUAAAGUGUUUACUUGUGUCUGACGCACAAUGAAGAGCUACAUUUAGUGUUUAUUUGAC